UAAUACAAUACUAUUUGUUUUAAUUACUUUUUCUUGCAAGAAGAGAGUGAGAAACAGAGGAACCAGAAAAUAACCUAGUCAAUUACUUUUCAUAUUUCAUCUCAGGAACAUCAGCAAUGUUGUUCCCCAUGUUCUUUUAUCUCAGAUUGGAAAUGAUUUUGUUAGAAAGCAGGCCCUAACAGUGCCCCUCUCGUGGAAAAAAUUAUGAGACCCAUUCUUCAUUGACAACUUUGCAGGCCAUAAUUUUGCCUCUAUUUUUUUAUUCAAUCUCCACAUGCAACAUAUUGUCACUUGCUUUCUCCUCUUAUAAUCCAUACUUUUCCAAGAGUUUCUUUGGGCAGGAAAUUUAUAUAGGUCACCGCUUUCUUCCCAUGAGGCUUUAUAAGAUCCACACUACUAAAAAAAAAUACACAUGGAAUCAAAGUAGUUCUGAGUCAAUCACAAUAUGUUUAUAUAUACACAUCUACAGACACAUGCAUAUCUUCACUAAGGACUGGCCAGAUGGAAUUUUUUGCUAUAUUUCCACAUGAUACUUACAGAACAUAUUCCUUUACAGAAAUAACUCUUGGAUGCACAAAGCCAACCAUGUAAAGAGGAAAAAUAUAGAUGCAAUUACAAAGUUGGUUCACUUAUAUUAAUGUCUACUAACAGGCUUAGGAUAGCUCUGGGUAGAGACUAGGCCGAGGGGCAAAAGAGCUACAAGCCUAAGUGAGGCCCCAGAUUUAAGGUCUGAGUUGAAUUAUAGUUGAGCUUGUCCUAGAGAACAUUUCUUUCAACCCAAGACCGAUCAGAAGAACCAUAUAUUAAGUCACAACAUGAUAAGUUUUCCAAAGAAUUUGGACCAUCCAUUUGAGAUGGAUGACCUAGAUCAAGAGUAAUGUAAACCUUUUAUCUCAUCCCAACCAUAAUACUCUAGCCACUCAACCUCAUCCUUCCCAAAUUCCUUCCCCUAUGCCCUCCUCUCCUUUUUAUCACCACAUACAUCACACUUCCCAACAUGUUAACUCCAUCUAUUGAUCACGGUCAGGUUCACUCAUCUUAUUUCCAACCCUAAGGCCCAGCACUCCUGCCUCUCUUUUCCUCCACCUCAGAGCCCCCACCUUCUUCCCAUAUGUCCUCCACUUCCCCUCUAUCAGCACUUUCCUCCCCUCAAAUUCACCAAUUCCUAUGCAUGCAGCUCCCUUGACCUAUCUCCUCAUGACCUCAUACAAUGUCAAUCCACCAUUGACACCCACCCAUGCUAGUCCCUUCCUAUCAACCAGCCACAGCCCCACCUUCCUCCCUACACCUCCAUCCCUUGUGAAACCCCCUUCCCUUCUAGUGCCCAUUUUCCCUCACCCAUCUCUCCCUUCCCCUCCCAUGUUGCCAUCACUGGCACCGCUAUAAACAUUACUUUGUGACUCUUCCUCACCCACAUACAACCAUCCUCUUCUGACCAUGGUUAGUAGAAUUUGGGCCAAAGAUAGAUAGAUACAUACAUACAUACAUACACGCAUGCAUAUGUAAAAAACAUAAACACAUACAUACAUGGGCAAUACAUUGCAUACAUACAAUAUAUACAUAUGUAUGUGUAAUGCACAUGCAUGCGUGGCCACAUGUUUGUUAUUUUGUAUAUUAUUUGCACCCUUCUAUUAUUAAAAGUUUAUUCCCUUAACAAAAUUGUAACAAAAAAAAAAUCCUAUACUUAGGUUCAAUAGAUAAGCAUCUUGAUGUGAAUAUACCUCAAUAAAUAUAUUUUUGAAGGGCCUAAAUCAUAUAUCUAUUAUGUCAAUAAACUGAAUAAUAAAAUUAUCUACAAUGGGCUUAUACAAGUUGAACAUUUAUUAGGUCACUGGUAUCUCACCAUACAUAAAUACAUAUAUACACAUACAUGUACGUGUGUAUAUUCCCUAUACCUUCCAAAUACUAAAGUUUAUUUCCUAGGCAUUAAUACAUACAUAGAUACAUACAUGCAUGCAUGCAGUUCAAUGGAUAAGCAUCUUGAUGUGAAUAUACCUCAAAAUAUGCAUUAGAAGAAAGGACUUGAAGUCAUAUUAGGUCAAUAAAA
rnacentral:lncRNA from 1 species